rnacentral:rRNA from 1 species
UACGGAGGGUGCAAGCGUUAUCCGGAUUCACUGGGUUUAAAGGGUGCGUAGGCGGGUUGGUAAGUCAGUGGUGAAAUCUCCGAGCUUAACUUGGAAACUGCCAUUGAUACUAUCAGUCUUGAAUAUUGUGGAGGUCAGCGGAAUAUGUCAUAUAGCGGUGAAAUGCUUAGAUAUGACAUAGAACACCGAUUGCGAAGGCAGCUCACUGGACGAUCAUUGACACUGAGGCACGAAAGCGUGGGGAGCAAACAGG